rnacentral:rRNA from 1 species
GUUCGGAAUUACUGGGCGUAAAGGGCUCGUAGGCGGCCAACUAAGCCAGACGUGAAAUCCCUCGGCUUAACCGGGGAACUGCGUCUGAUACUGGAUGGCUUGAGAUUGGGAGAGGGAUGCGGAAUUCCAGGUGUAGCGGUGAAAUGCGUAGAUAUCUGGAGGAACACCGGUGGCGAAGGCGACAUCCUGGACCAACACUGACGCUGAGGAGCGAAAGCCAGGGGAGCAAACGGG